AUCGAACGCUGGCGGCAGGCCUAACACAUGCAAGUCGAGCGAGCGGCGGACGGGUGAGUAAUGUCUGGGAAACUGCCUGAUGGUGGGGGAUAACUACUGGAAACGGUAGCUAAUACCGCAUACCAUCAGAUGUGCCCAGAUGGGAUUAGCUAGUAGGUGGGGUAACGGCUCACCUAGGCGACGAUCCCUAGCUGGUCUGAGAGGAUGACCAGCAACACUGGAACGGCGACACGGUCCAGACUCCUCCGGGAGGCAGCAGUGGGGAAUAUUCCACAAUGGGCGCAAGCCUGUUGCAGCCAGGCGGCGGGUGUGAAGAAGGCCUGCGGGUUGUAAAGCCAUGACAGCGGGGAGGCGUUACCCGCAGAAGUAGCACCGGCUAACUCCGUGCCAGCCGCCGCGGUAAUAC
rnacentral:rRNA from 1 species